rnacentral:misc_RNA from 1 species
GUCAGCAGUCUUCAGGAGAUAAGAACCAGUACAAACAAAUAUGCCAGUACCGCAUAGUCUCCACAAACAGACAGUCAAUUGUAUCACACAACUACUACACUUUUUGUUUCAUGAAUCUGGGAGCUUUAUGCACACAAGCAACUCAUGACACGAGGUUCUCGGUCAGCGACAGAGAAGCUAGCUGAUCCGCUGCAUUGCCAGCUUGCUGCUGCUGAGCUGCAGCAACAUUCCUCAAAACCUCCAUAGCUUCGGCUACUUUGGCCUUCAAAGCCUCUGGGGACUCUAGUAAAUGCAAA